AGUCAAUGUUGCCAUCCAGCAGGCUCCGCACCAUAUCCAGGAAAGCUGGGUAAUAAUCUUCUACAUCAACAUCCACUCUGGUCGACCAGAAAAGAGCUG